CGUAGGAGCGAAGCGUGUCGGAAUCAUUGGCGUAAAGCGCGCGUAGGUGGCCCCAUAAGUCCGCUGUGAAAGUCAAAGGCUCAACCUUUGAAAGCCGGUGGAUACUGUGGGACUAGAGUACGGAAGAGGCGAGUGGAAUUCCUGGUGUAGCGGUGGAAUGCGCAGAUAUCAGGAGGAACACCAAUAGCGAAGGCAGCUCGCUGGGACGUUACUGACACUGAGGCGCGAAAGCGUGGGGAGCGAACAGG
rnacentral:rRNA from 1 species